AUUGCUUCUUGACCUUUUGUCUGAGAUCAAAUGUAGCACCUGCUCUUACCAGCUUAAUACCUGAUAUGUCCUCUAUCUAUCUUAAAAGUCAGCCACUUUAAGGAUCUUUCUGGGAAGCCCCAUCUAAUAGCUCAGAUAUCAUGAGCUAAAACCUU
ensembl:snRNA RNU2-31P RNA, U2 small nuclear 31, pseudogene